UUCUGGCUCAGGAUGAACGCUGGCGGCGUGCUUAACACAUGCAGGUCGAACGAAGCCCGGAAGCGGAUCUUCGGAAAAGCGGACGGGAGACUUAGUGGCGGACGGGUGAGUAACGCGUGGGCAACCUGCCCUUGGGAGGGGGACAACAGCCGGAAACGGCUGCUAAUACCGCAUGAUCCGGCGGCUCCGCAUGGGGGUGCCGGGAAAGGAGCGAUCCGCCCAGGGAUGGGCCCGCGUCUGAUUAGCCGGUUGGCGGGGUAACGGCCCACCAAAGCGAUGAUCAGUAGCCGGACUGAGAGGUUGAACGGCCACAUUGGGACUGAGACACGGCCCAGACUCCUACGGGAGGCAGCAGUGGGGAAUCUUCCGCAAUGGGCGAAAGCCUGACGGAGCAACGCCGCGUGAAGUGAAGAAGGUCUUCGGAUCGUAAAGCUCUGUCGAAGGGGACGAACGUGGGUUCUAUCAACAACGGGACCUAAUGACGGUACCUUUCAAGAAAGCCACGGCUAACUACGUGCCAGCAGCCGC
rnacentral:rRNA from 1 species